rnacentral:rRNA from 1 species
GAUGAACGCUGACGGAAUGCUUAACACAUGCAAGUCAACUUGGUGGCGGACGGGUGAGUAACGCGUAAAGAACUUGCCUCACAGCUAGGGACAACAUUUAGAAAUGAAUGCUAAUACCUGAUACUGUGAGAGAGCUUUGCGUCCCAUUAGCUUGUUGGAGUGGUAACAGCUCACCAAGGCGAUGAUGGGUAGCCGGCCUGAGAGGGUGAACGGCAAAAAGGGGACUGAGACACGGCCCUUACUCUUACGGGAGGAAGCAGUGGGGAAUAUGGAACAAGGUACCGAAGUCUGAUCCAGCAAUUCUGUGUGCACGAUGAAGUUUUUCGGAAUGUAAAGUGCUUUCAGUUGGGAAGCGGUACCAGCAGAAGAAGUGACGGCUAAAUACGUGCCAGCAGCCGCGGUAAUAC